UCUCUCUCCAAUUAUCCACAGCCUCGGAGGCGAAUCUCUCUGAGUUACUCAAGCUAGGCCACAAGGUCAUCAUAAGCACCAUUCUCUAUAUUUCAAUCAAUCAUUUCCUGUUCGGAUCAGGAAGCAUUCACAUGAACAAGCUCUUGCUGUUUUAUAUUGGCUAAUAAAUAACUUUAUAUAUCCUAAGCAUGUGCCCUUGGAGCUUGGAGGAGAUGAGAGAAAAUUGAAAUCUUGGAAGCUAUGUCACAUCUUCUCAAACAGGUGUAACCAGAUGACAUGAUCGUUUUGGCACCGAACCUGAACCUGAUCCUGUUGAAAGGGAAAUACCAAUGCUGCCAAAAAUUGAUCCACAAGUCAUACACAACUGGGUGAUUGUUGUUUGAGGGAUAUAUUUCCUUGUUCCAUUGGUAAAACUAGUUUCAUUUUAUAUGCUUGAGCAUAAAAUUAUUCGAUAUGCUUGUAACAUAAUUAUGUAUCAUUAGGUUUUCAUUCAAUAGCUGUACUACUAUGUUUAUUCUUGCUAUGAUUAUUAUUUAUGGAUUUUCCUCUUUUAUUCAAAGAUUGAUGCCAAUUUAGCAUCAAAUCAUAAUGAAUGAAGGAGCUAGUUGUAGUAUAGAACUGAUAGUCUGUGUUCUUUCAGAUACCUUUGUUGUGGAGCAUGGGCAGUUGAGCUUAAUUUGGAACUAUCACCAUAGAUAUAUUUGCCAUUUUAAGCUUAUUUAUGUUGUUAGCAUUAAGUAGGUGACAGGUUUAACUCUUCCACAUAUCUCCAAUGAAGAGAUGUUGCAGGAAACCAAAUGAAAUGUGUAUCGUGAUACCGGAGCUUUUGUUGCUGUCUAUUCUGCAAUGGGAAUAUGAAGAGGAUACUUCAUCUUUCAGUUGGCUUCAUUGCAUUUGCACCAGAAAUCAGAGGCAUUGUAGAGAGCCAUGCAAGAAGCUUUGUUAGUGACUUAGUGUCAAUGUGUUCAGCAUUUACUUUGCUGGAUUUAGUACUCAAACAUGUUCAUUGACAUCACGGUUUAUUUAUUUAUUUUCUGUGAGGUACUUAGAGUUUUGAGGUUCUC